UGGGGAAUAUUGCACAAUGGGCGCAAGCCUGAUGCAGCCAUGCCGCGUGUGUGAAGAAGGCCUUCGGGUUGUAAAGCACUUUCAGCGGGGAGGAAGGCGAUAAGGUUAAUAACCUCAUCGAUUGACGUUACCCGCAGAAGAAGCACCGGCUAACUCCGUGCCAGCAGCCGCGGUAAUACGGAGGGUGCAAGCGUUAAUCGGAAUUACUGGGCGUAAAGCGCACGCAGGCGGUCUGUCAAGUCGGAUGUGAAAUCCCCGGGCUCAACCUGGGAACUGCAUUCGAAACUGGCAGGCUAGAGUCUUGUAGAGGGGGGUAGAAGUCCAGGUGUAGCGGUGAAAUGCGUAGAGAUCUGGAGGAAUACCGGUGGCGAAGGCGGCCCCCUGGACAAAGACUGACGCUCAGGUGCGAAAGCGUGGGGAGCAAACAGG
rnacentral:rRNA from 1 species